UUACCAGACUCCUACGGGAGGCAGCAGUGAGGAAUAUUGGUCAAUGGCCGAGAGGCUGAACCAGCCAAGUCGCGUGAGGGAAGAAUGUCCUAUGGAUUGUAAACCUCUUUUGCCGGGGAGCAAAAGACGCCACGCGUGGCGUUCCGAGAGUACCCGAAGAAAAAGCAUCGGCUAACUCCGUGCCAGCAGCCGCGGUAAUACGGAGGAUGCGAACGUUAUCCGGAUUUAUUGGGUUUAAAGGGUGCGCAGGCGGAAGAUAAGGUCAGGGGUAAAAUUGGGGGGCUCAACCUCUUCGAGCCGUUGAAACUGGUUUUCUUGAGUGAGUGAGAAGUAUGCGGAAUGCGUGGUGUAGCGGUGAAAUGCAUAGAUAUCACGCAGAACUCCGAUUGCGAAGGCAGCAUACCGGCGCUCAACUGACGCUCAUGCACGAAAGUGUGGGUAUCGAACAGGAUUAGAUACCCGCGUAC
rnacentral:rRNA from 1 species